CCAGAAGCCGCGCCGGCCGCAACGCCGGCGCCUUCGCCCAACCCUUUGUGAAUCGCGCCCGAUUUCCCCGGGGGGACCGCCUGCCCUGCGCGCGCGGCCCCCCGGCGGACCCCUCCAACUCGUGUUGUACCUGCCGUCCGAGUCGUAUGAGAAAUCAAACAA
rnacentral:misc_RNA from 1 species